GAUCAUGGCUCAGAUUGAACGCUGGCGGCAUGCCUUACACAUGCAAGUCGAACGGCAGCGGACCUUCGGGUGCCGGCGAGUGGCGAACGGGUGAGUAAUGCAUCGGAACGUGCCAUUGAGUGGGGAUAACGUAGCGAAAGUUGCGCUAAUACCGCAUAUUCUGUGAGCAGGAAAGCAGGGACGCAAGGCCUUGCGCUCUUUGAGCGGCCGAUGUCAGAUUAGCUAGUUGGUGAGGUAACGGCUUACCAAGGCGACGAUCUGUAGCGGGGUCUGAGAGGAUGAUCCGCCACACUGGAACUGAGACACGGUCCAGACUCCUACGGGAGGCAGCAGUGGGGAAUUUUGGACAAUGGGGGCAACCCUGAUCCAGCCAUGCCGCGUGAGUGAAGAAGGCCUUCGGGUUGUAAAGCUCUUUCGGCCGGGAAGAAAUCGCAUGGGUUAAUACCCUGUGUGGAUGACGGUACCGGCAUAAGAAGCACCGGCUAACUACGUG
rnacentral:rRNA from 1 species